ACCCUGGGAUGCCAUUACCAUCUUACUGGGCAGCAUUGGAUGUUUUCUGUGUUUCUAAUACUGCCUGGUAAUGAUGAUUAUGGUGUCUCGCAC
rnacentral:pre_miRNA from 5 species